UACGGAGGGUGCAAGCGUUGUCCGGAUUCAUUGGGUUUAAAGGGUGCGCAGGCGGGACCUUAAGUCAGGGGUGAAAGACGGUUGCUCAACAAUCGCAGUGCCUUUGAUACUGGUGUUCUUGGGUAACCUUGAGGUAGGCGGAAUGGGUGGUGUAGCGGUGAAAUGCAUAGAUACCACCCAGAACUCCGAUUGCGAAGGCAGCCUACUGGAGGUCAACCGACGCUCAGGCACGAAAGCGUGGGGAUCAAACAGG
rnacentral:rRNA from 1 species